rfam:Operophtera brumata OBRT01_Sc00081, whole genome shotgun sequence.
CGUUCCAUGGCCAAACUGGUCAAGGCAUUGCUGAUUUUACGCGAAGAUGCGGGUUCGAGUCCCGCUGGAACGA